rnacentral:misc_RNA from 1 species
UCGCGGUUUACACCGGCAGUCUCGAUAGAGUCCCCAACAUCACUUGAUGGCAACUAUCGAUAGGGGUUGCGCUCGUUAUGGGACUUAACCCGACACCUCACGGCACGAGCUGACGACAACCAUGCAGCACCUAGUUUCGUGCCCCGAAGGGAGAGAGGAUUUCUCCUCCUGUCACUAACUUUCAAGCCCGGGUAAGGUUCCUCGCGUAUCAUCGAAUUAAACCACAUGUUCCUCCGCUUGUGCGGGCCCCCGUCAAUUCCUUUGAGUUUCAACCUUGCGGUCGUACUCCCCAGGUGGAUAACUUAUCGCUUUCGCUGGGUUACCGACUGUGUAUCGCCGACAACUAGUUCCCACCGUUUACGGCGUGGACUAC